GUUAUAUGGUCAAGCGACUAAGCGCACAUGGUGGAUGCCUAGGCAGUAAGAGGCGAUGAAGGACGUGGUAGUCUGCGAUAAGCCCCGGUUAGCUGACAAACAAGCUUACCCGGGGAUUUCCGAAUGGGGAAACCCACCCUGCUUGCAGGGUAUCUUGCACUGAAUACAUAGGUGCAGGAGGCGAACGCGGUGAACUGAAACAUCUAAGUAACCGUAGGAAAAGAAAUCAACCGAGAUUCCCUCAGUAGCGGCGAGCGAACGGGGACCAGCCCAGUUGCCAUCA
rnacentral:rRNA from 1 species